GGAAAGAAAUUAUGUUUCAGGUUCCUUCUAUAUGGCUUCUUGUUGAGUCUUUGAGUCUAUGGUCAAACCCCAUGGCCUGAACCAGCCAACAGGGGCGGCUCACCAGCCCAUUGCUUCAAUUGCCUCUCAUUUUCUCAGCAAAUAACAUCACAGCGCUAAACCAAAAAAUAAAAAAAACUGAUUAAUAUUAAGUUUAUUUCCUAAUUAAUAUUAAUUAAGUAAUGUUUUAGAAACAUUACUGUUGGCAAACAUUUCUUCAAAGCUUGGUCUAUGUUCUUAAGUGCAGGCGCUGGUGUUAUUCAACUGACUUUUGUUUUUCUUUGAUAGGUGUUUAAGCAACUCAUUCCUGCUAUGGUAAAACUUUGCUGACAAAGAUGAAGGAGAAGAAGAACCAAGCUUUUUCAUGGCGUUUCACUUUGUUUAUGUUCUUAAUCCUCCUGAUUACAAGCACUGAUGUUGCUGUUGGGGAUUCUUUAGAGACGGACAAAUAUGUACUGCUGAAGCUAAAAUCAUACCUGGAAGAACAGAAUCGUGUAAAUCGAGGACGGUACUUAGAGUGGGAUACCAGAAACUCAACACCAUGUCAGUGGUACGGUGUUUCAUGUUCCCCUGAUGGCCAAAGUGUCAUUGGUAUAAACCUUUCUGACAAUAAUAUUUCCGGGGAUAUGUUCAAUCAAUUCUCUGCCUUAUCUGAACUCCGAGAACUUGACCUUUCGGGAAACACCAUCGGUGGAGCAAUUCCAGAGGAUCUGAAUCGAUGCAGCAGCCUGGUAUACCUUAACUUAUCACAUAAUAUCCUAGAAGGAGAGCUGAAGUUGACAGGGUUAAAUAGUUUAGAGAAGCUCGAUUUGUCUAUGAAUAGGAGGAUUGAAGGGGAUAUUGAAGUUAGUUUCCCAGCAAUUUGCAAGAGAUUGGUUAUUGCAAACCUUUCAACUAAUAAUUUCAGUGGUAAUAUAGAUAAGUGCUUUGAUGAAUGCUGGAAUCUGCAGUAUUUGGAUUUGAGUUCCAAUAAUUUUGUUGGCCAAAUAUGGAGUGGAUUUGCAAGGCUUGUCGAGUAUUCAGUUUCUGAAAAUUUCGUGUCAGGGGCACUUUCGGGAUCAAUGUUCACAAACAAUUGUAGUUUGCAGGUUUUGGACCUUUCAGAAAACAACUUAGAGGGUCAGCUUCCGGGGGAGAUUUCUAACUGCAAGAAUUUGGCUGUGUUGAACUUAUGGGGAAACCAUUUUACGGGGAAAAUUCCAUCGGAGAUCGGAAUGAUUUCAAGUCUAGAAGGCUUGUUCUUGGGGAAAAACAACUUUUCUAAUGUAAUACCAGAAUCUUUAUUGAACCUCACAAACUUGGCUUUUUUGGAUUUAAGCAAGAACAACUUUGGUGGGAAGAUACAAGAGAUUUUUGGGAGGUUCACACAAGUGAAGUUCCUUGUGUUACACGGAAAUGCAUAUACCGGAGGGAUUAUAUCUUCCGGCAUUCUCAAUUUGCCAAAGGUUUCACGUUUAGACCUAAGUUUCAACAACUUCUCUGGUCCUUUACCUAUUGAAAUCUCUGAAAUGAAGAGCUUGAAUUUCUUGAUGUUGGCUUACAACCAGUUUACAGGUGGUAUACCACCUGAGUAUGGCAACUUGCCUCAGUUACAGGCCCUUGAUCUCUCCUUCAACCAGCUUACAGGAUCUAUCCCAUCAGCAUUUGGAAAACUGAGCACUCUCUUGUGGUUGAUGCUUGCAAACAACUCUCUUACGGGUGACAUUCCGUCUGAGAUUGGAAACUGCAGUAGCUUGUUAUGGCUAAACCUUGCCAACAAUCAACUUUCUGGGGAAAUCCCUCCAGAGUUGGCUAAGAUUGGGAGAAAUGCCAUCCAAACUUUUGAGUCGAACAGGCUACGAAAUGACCGGAUAAUUCCUGGUUCGGGAGAGUGCUUGUCAAUGAAGAGGUGGAUACCAGCAGAUUAUCCACCUUUCAGUUUUGUGUAUACAAUUCUCACUAAGAAGACUUGCAGAAGUUUAUGGGAUCAGUUGGUUAAAGGACAUGGAAUUUUCCAAGUAUGCACUGCAGGUUCAACAGUGAUGACAGAUCAAAUCUCAGGUUAUUUGCAACUUAGUGGGAAUCAGUUGUCGGGCCAGAUCCCUUCAGAUAUCGGCAUGAUGCAGAAUUUCAGUAUGCUUCAUUUUGGUUUCAAUGACCUCAAUGGUAAACUGCCUGCAAACAUCGGACAGUUGCCGCUUGUAGUCCUAAACAUAACCCGAAAUCGAUUUUCAGGAGAAAUUCCAGAUGAGAUUGGUAAUAUGAAAUGCUUACUGAAUCUAGAUUUAUCAUUCAAUAACUUUUCUGGCAUAUUUCCAACAAGCUUCAACAACUUGACUGAGCUGAGCAAGUUCAACAUUUCAUACAAUCCGCUCAUUUCGGGUGUAAUUCCGGCAACCGGUCAAUUGGCUACCUUCGAGAAAGAGUCCUACCUCGGGGAUCCACUUCUCGAUAUUCCAGAUUUUAUCGACAAUGGAACAUCUCGCCCGCAAAAGUACAAUUCAAUGCAUAAAAGAUCUGCUAAGUUGGUUGUAUUCUUGGCGUUGUUAUAUUUGACACUGGCCUUUUUAGUUUUUGGGGUUCUAACGCUCAUAGUUUGCGUUUUGGUGAAAGGUCCAGAAGAACCAUACGGAUAUCUCUUUCAGGAUAUUAAAUAUCGACAUGAACUAGCUUCAAGCUCUGGAGGGUCAUCACCAUGGUUAUCGGAUACUGUCAAGGUCAUACGUUUGGACAAAACAGCUUUUACGCAUGCAGAUAUUUUGAAGGCUACAGGCAAUUUUUCAGAGGACAGGAUUAUCGGAAAGGGAGGAUUUGGAAUGGUGUAUCGAGGUGUAUUGCCUGAUGGGAGAGAAGUGGCAGUGAAAAAGCUACAACGAGAAGGAAUCCAGGGUGAAAGGGAGUUCCGGGCUGAGAUGGAGGUACUCAGUGGCAAUGGCUUUGGUUGGCCCCACCCUAACCUUGUAACACUAUAUGGCUGGUGCCUUGAUGGCUUAGAGAAAAUAUUGGUUUAUGAGUAUAUGGAAGGUGGGAGCCUCGAGGAUAUUAUAUCGGAUCGGUUGUGGUUCACAUGGCGGAGAAGGAUCGAUGUGGCGGUUGAUAUUGCAAGAGCAUUAGUGUUCCUACAUCAUGAAUGCUACCCUGCAAUCGUGCAUAGAGAUGUCAAGGCCAGCAAUGUCCUGCUAGAUAAAGAUGGGAGGGCAAGAGUUACAGAUUUCGGUUUGGCUAGAUUUGUCGACAUCGGAGAUAGCCAUGUGAGCACUAUCGUAGCAGGAACUAUUGGUUAUGUAGCACCAGAAUACGGGCAAACUUGGCAAGCUACUACAAAAGGUGAUGUGUACAGUUAUGGGGUGUUAACAAUGGAACUAGCAACUGGAAGGCGAGCAGUAGAUGGAGGGGAAGAAUGUUUGGUUGAAUGGGCCAGACGUAUGAUGGGAAAUUGUCGAAACGGGUUAGGCCGAACUGUGAUCCCGGUUGUGCUUUUCGGAUCAGGGUUAGCUGAUGGUGCGGAAAAGAUGUGCGAGCUGCUUCGAAUCGGGGUCCAAUGCACAGCAGAAGCUCCACAAGCUAGACCAAACAUGAAAGAGGUUCUAGCCAUGCUAAUUAGAAUAACAAGCAGUAACGGUCAAAAUCUCAAGUGUUCAUAGUGUUGGUAUGUGAAAGGGAUAUACAAAAUAGUAAAUAGGUUUAAAUACACGUAUAUUUUCAUGUACUGAUUUUUCUUGUAAAGGGACAAAUGAAGUUAAGAGCAAACAAGAUUGAAACAGAACAUAACAAGAUUUUUUGGUCACUCGUAGGGGUGUAGUUAGGGAGUACUGGUCCCUAAAAUGGAAAAUUUUCUGAAUUCGCAUUUGGUUACUCAAAUUCAAAAAGAAUAAUAAAAUUGGAAAAGAAAUGGAAGAGAGGAGGGCGCUGGCAAAGAAAAUGAAGAUUGAAGAGUUGCAAUGUCAACCAUGUGUUGAUUAUGGAGAUGAAACCGUUGCAAUGCAGGUGAGAGCUCGUCUAAUUUUCAGUAACAUAUUACUCGGGUCGGGUUCUGGUGUUAGGAUCAGGCUAUGUAUGUGCAUAGAUAUCUUCAAUCUUUUUCAAGAAUUUCAUGUAUUUAAAGGGUUUAGCAGGUCUUGAGUCUAAUUGGUUCUCUUAAAAUGUGGCAUCCAGCAGGUCUUGAGUCUAAAUAUCAACAUCUUGUAGACAUCAAUAGUUCUCUGUAGUCGAUUGUUUUCUUUCUCGAAAAUGUUCUUAAUAUAGAAUCAUUGAUUUGUAAAGGGAAAGCCCAGAAGUAGUCUAGUUAGUUCAUGCUUAGUCUAGUUAGUUCAUACAAUUGUUUUUGGCAUCCAUAGCUCAAAUUUCAGUAUUUACAA